rnacentral:rRNA from 1 species
CGGGGUGCAGCAGGCGCGAAACCUCUGCAAUAGGCGAAAGCUUGACAGGGUUACUCUGAGUGAUGUCCGCUAAGGGCAUCUUUUGGCACUUCUAAAAAUAGUGUAGAAUAAGGGGUGGGCAAGUCUGGUGUCAGCCGCCGCGGUAAUACCAGCACCCCGAGUGGUCGGGACGAUUAUUGGGCCUAAAGCAUCCGUAGCCGGUUCUGCAAGUCUUCCGUUAAAUCCACCUGCUCAACAGAUGGGCUGCGGAGGAUACUACAGGGCUAGGAGGCGGGAGAGGCAAGCGGUACUCAGUGGGUAGGGGUAAAAUCCUCUGAUCCACUGAAGACCACCAGUGGCGAAGGCGGCUUGCCAGAACGCGCUCGACGGUGAGGGAUGAAAGCUGGGGGAGCAAACCGGAUUAGAUACCCGGGUAGUCCCAGCUGUAAACGAUGCAGACUCGGUGAUGGGUUGGCUUCGAGCCAACCCAGUGCCGCAGGGAAGCCGUUAAGUCUGCCGCCUGGGGAGUACGGUCGCAAGACUGAAACUUAAAGGAAUUGGCGG